UACGAAGGGGGGCUAGCGUUGCUCGGAAUCACUGGGCGUAAAGGGUGCGUAGGCGGGUCUUUUAAGUCAGGGGGUGAAAUCCUGGAGCUCAACUCCAGAACUGCCUUUGAUACUGAGGAUCUUGGAGUCCGGAAGAGGAGAGUGGAAUUCCUGGUGUAGCGGUGAAAUGCGCAGAUAUCAGGAAGAACACCUAUGGCGAAGGCAGCUCUCUGGGACGGUACUGACGCUGAGACGCGAAAGCGUGGGGAGCGAACAGG
rnacentral:rRNA from 1 species